rnacentral:rRNA from 1 species
UGCAAGUCGAGCGGACAGAUGGGAGCUUGCUCCCUGAUGUUAGCGGCGGACGGGUGAGUAACACGUGGGUAACCUGCCUGUAAGACUGGGAUAACUCCGGGAAACCGGGGCUAAUACCGGAUGCUUGUUUGAACCGCAUGGUUCAAACAUAAAAGGUGGCUUCGGCUACCACUUACAGAUGGACCCGCGGCGCAUUAGCUAGUUGGUGAGGUAAUGGCUCACCAAGGCAACGAUGCGUAGCCGACCUGAGAGGGUGAUCGGCCACACUGGGACUGAGACACGGCCCAGACUCCUACGGGAGGCAGCAGUAGGGAAUCUUCCGCAAUGGACGAAAGUCUGACGGAGCAACGCCGCGUGAGUGAUGAAGGUUUUCGGAUCGUAAAGCUCUGUUGUUAGGGAAGAACAAGUACCGUUCGAAUAGGGCGGUACCUUGACGGUACCUAACCAGAAAGCCACGGCUAACUACGUGCCAGCAGCCGCGGUAAUACGUAGGUGGCAAGCGUUGUCCGGAAUUAUUGGGCGUAAAGGGCUCGCAGGCGGUUCCUUAAGUCUGAUGUGAAAGCCCCCGGCUCAACCGGGGAGGGUCAUUGGAAACUGGGGGAACUUGAGUGCA